GGGGUCAAAAAAAGAUUUUUAUAAGUGAUACGGUUGUGGGGAAGUUUCUGAUCACAUUGACACACCCCGUCCCGAAGGAGGGCAUGCUGGCCGUCACGUGAGAGUGACGUAACCAUUUACACAGUACGGAAGCUUUAAGAUACAAUUUAUAAGUUGAUACACCCGAAGGUGAGUCCUAAUUUUGUCCAUUCUGUCAGAACACCGUCGAAUUCCUCGUAGUCACCACACCUUUGUGAUUCCUGAACCUGGAGGGGCGCAAAACCAAAAUUGAGUGGGUCAGUAAAACAAUUCUUUUCCAAAUCCAAACAUUUCUCAAAACGUUGUAACCCCUCUCCGUAAAACCUGUAUACUUUCCCAGAAAUGUAAAAUAUAAAUAUACAUAUAUAAUCUCAAAACUUCAAAUCACUAUCUCAACAUUUUUCAUUACAAUUAUGCCAUGCCAUGUCUAAAUUCAACAGUAUAAUAUGAAUGCAUCAACAAUAAUUAUAUCAGGUGCAAGAAGUAAUCAACCGGAGGCCCUCUAAUAGCCCUGAACGGUUGAACCUAGAGCUCAAAAUCUAUCACUCUCACUCUGCCGGAGUCACCUCUGUGACCUGUACGGCCUUCUGCACACAAGUUACGCUCUAGUGCUUUCUCAUUAAUCAUCUGUGCACAUAAUCUAAGGUCACCCACCAGUCGAAAUCUCACUAACACUCUUCGACUGGCCCGUCGCACCCACUCCGCGUGGACUAUGCGACCAGCAUCUACUUGGAUCCAAGGCGAGCGUGCGAUGCGGUGAAUACUAUAAGCACUAAACCAUGGUGCAGGAUUUGAGCUCAAUAUAUAUCAACAUCAUCAUAACAGUAUUUAAAUACUCACCUGAUACUCACCUGUGCGUCCGCCGCACCAUUCAUUCAUAUGCAUCAUAUAACAAUUCAUACUUUUCAUAUCAUUUCAUGCAUGGCAAUUCGAUUCACAUUUCUAUAUACUUUGCAUAUAAUUUUAUGCAUGGCAUCUCAAUUCACGUUUUCAUAUAAUUCUAUAUACCUUUCAUUUAAAACAUAAUUUCAUUCUAAUUCAAUUUCUGGGAAAACGUCAAGUAUAUAUAUAUACGGAAAACAAAACUGCCCACUCACCUGGAGUUCGUCCUACAACUCCCUAGCACAAUACGCCAAGGCGUCAUGACGAUUGCCGCCUAGAACAGUAAUCAAAUCCAACCUCAGAAUUCAUAUCGAUAGAAUAUAUAACUUAUAUAAAAUACGUCACUACGUAGAUCGAUCCGGAAGAUCUGCCACUCAGAUUUUAAAUCCAUAACUUCCAGAGGUCCACAAUAUAUCUCUAGGACAACAUCCUAAAAUUUCAUCACCAUCCAACGGUUAGAUCUCCGUCAAUUAACAAAACUAAGUGACGGUUUACAUUCUAUUUUAUGAACUUACAACUCAAAUUCCGGAAGAUCUGUAAAUCGGAUUCCCAAUCCGUAAGUUCCUAUAAUCCUCAAAUAUUACGUAUUACAACGUAUCAAAGUUUGGUGACGAUCCAACGGUCGGAUCAUCAAUUCACAUUUUCACCUAAUGCGAAAAUUAUAAAACGUUAUUUGAACACCUAACCAACAAUCCUUAAUAACUUUCUCAUACGGUACUCAAUUUGGGUAUAUGAAUAUACCAAAGUGAUCUACUCGACGUCACGAACGUCGACAUAUUUUUAGAUUAUUUUUUUGAUGUGCCACGCGCCCCCACGCGCCAGGACAAGCACGGGGACACGCGCCCCCACGCGCAUCAUCCCCAACCUUGGUUCGUCGGACUGGUUUUUCCGGCGACCGGAAAACUGGAGAAUUUUCAAAUGCUUCGUUCUCCUUCGUUUCUCAACCAUUUUCUUCGUAUAAUAUAUCAAAUUGAAGCCCUCAACAUGUAGAAUCAUAAUAUACUACUUUAAAGCUCUAAAAACUACGAAAUCUUACCGGAAAAAUUCCACAAGAACCGGCCAACUUUGAACGUGGUGAUCCCGACGUCCAAAACUUCCAAACAACAUACUCCGAGCUUCCUUGGGACUUCCUAAAGCUCACUGUGAGCUUAGUUUGGCCUAAAACACAACCAAUUCAAAGCUCAUGAACAGUACACUUUCACGGGGAGUUUAGAAUCUAGGUUUUCCGAAGUAAAACUUACCUGAAAUUGGUGUCUACGUGAUCGUGGAGGUUCCAGGAGUUCGAUGGUGGUCUUAACUCCGUCGUUGGUAGAAGUUUAGGGUGGUUUUGGAGCUUGUCCGUGUGAGUUCGAAGGAGAGGGAGAGAGAACUGAGAGUUUCGUGAGGGAGGAGAGAGAGAGAUAAAGCACGGAAAAGAGGGAGAGAAUUUAGGGGUGUGGGAUCCUACCCAAUCCCCAACUACAAAUUCUAACAUAAAAUUUAAGUCUAAGUCUCCACUCUACUUACCAAAUUUUAGGAGCUUAGAUAUAACGAACGUAAAAAUUAUACCUUAGUCACGUAUUGGGGGCAUUUUCGUAAUUUCAUGUCCUCAGAAUUGAAAAUUCCGGGACGGGCUGUGACAAUCUCCCCUCCUUAUAGAAUUUCGUCCCCGAAAUUCCAGCAACCAACUAAAUCAUCUAUACUCAUACAAUAGCCUCGGGUAAAUCUCUCUCAUCCGAUUCUUUUUCUCCAACAUAAUUUUCUACUGAAUGGUUUCUUCACAAAACUUUUACCACUUAUACUGUCAUUCUCAGUACUUUCUUUUUCCAAUCCAAAGUCGUCAUUGGUUCCUUAUCAAGUCGAAUCCAAUUUAAUUCUCAAUAGUUGCACCAGAAUUCCAUGAGACCUAGUGACAACGCAUCGAACACAAAAUACAUUAAGUACCGUUGCCCUGUCUGGGAAAAAGUUAUUACUCAGCACUGGAGUAAUGUACUAACUUGUUACGUUAACCAACUAUUACUUUAAAUUCGACCAUAACCAUCUUGUGUACAAGGAAGCUUGUACACAUAAUCCAAAGUAAUCUUUUUCCAUUUCCGCUGCGAAACAGAAAAUAGCUGUCUCAAUCCAAGGUUUAUUUCUUUCUGCCUCAAUCUGCUGACCAAUAAAAAUGUCGAAUGGUAUGAUAAAUCUUAUUACUUUCGGAAUAUUGCAGAAGCUGAACAGUGUGCUUCGUCCAAAAUUAUUUACUUUAAACUCAAAGCAUUAGGCACAUACUUUUUGUUUACUUGUAUUCACAUGCCAUUUGAUUCACGAAUCAUGUACUCAUUCUCUUUCCUUUCUUUCUCUGCCUUGGUAAUUUAUUAAAUUUCUUCGUCAAGCAUUUGAGUCUCGAGUACGACCUUAUCAAAAAUGCCUAACUUGAAAAUUAGCAAGUAGAGCUUCUUCUCGAUCUACAAUUCUCAACUUUACUUCAGUUGAUUUCCAAUCCACAAGAAGAUAAUCUUGGCAAGCGUACCAAGCAUUAAUUCUUACUGUAGUCUUCUUAUCAAGUGCUUCAGCUACAACAAUUCACGAUCACCCUGAUCGUACAAUCAUAAUCACUAAGUAAUUCAAUCCACCUUUGUUGCCUCAUAUCAAAAUCCUUCCGAGUAAACAAAUAUUGGAGACUCUUUUGAUUUGUAAAAUCUUGCAUUCUCACUGAAAUAUAAUGCUUUCAUAACUUCACAGCAAGAAUGGUAAUCAUGACUUCCAAGUCACCUGUAGGGUAAUUCAUCUCAUGAGGUUCCAUUUGUCAUGAAACAUAUGCCAUCACCCUAACAUUUGUAUCAACAUGCCUCCAAUACCAUUCAAGAAACAUCACUAAAAAUUUAUGAUUACCACUAUUCUCUGGGAUUACUAAAAUACGUGCAUGAGUGAGGAAAUACUUCAGUUGUUGAAUCCUUUGCUCACAAUUUCCUUCCCACUCAUACAUAACCUCUUUUCUUAACAGUCUCGUCAAUGACAAAGCAAUGACUAAAAACUCUUUCACAACCAUCCAAGAUAGCCUGGUAAGUUAAGAAAUUCCAAAUCUCAAUUACGACUCGUGGUUGUUCCAAAGUCUCAAUUUCUGCUAUCUUUUAAGGAUUCACUUGAAUACCUUAAGCAGAUAUAACAAAUCUUAGAAUGCCACCUGAUUCAUCUAACUUUAGCAUUUGCUACUUAGCAUACAACCAACGUUCUCUCAAUCUUUGCUUCACCGACUUAAUACGUUUACAUGCUCUGCUCUGGCUCAGAAUAUGCCUGAAUAUCUUCAAUGAAAAUGAUAUCAAUUAUCAAGGCAUUAUUGGAAUACUUCAUCCAUCAACUCAUAAAACAGCAUGAGUAUCCAUAUAGCAUCACCAAACUUCAUAAAGACUAUAACAAGUCCAGAAAAACAAUCUUAGGAACAACGUUACUCAUAAUCUUCAAUUGAUAAUAAACAGACUUCAAGUCAAUCUUUGAAAAUAUACAAGCACCUUUGAACUGAUCAAAUGAGCGUCAAUACACCACAAUGGAUAACGGUUCUCAUUCGUUACCCGAUUCCAUUGUCUAUAAUCAAUGGAUAGCCUUAAAAUCCAUUUUCUUCCUCACCAACGAACUGGGGCUCCCCCAAAGCGUUGUACUAGGUUGAAUAAAACUUUUAUCAACCAAUUCUUUCAACUGAAUUUCCAAUUCCCUUAACUCAUCCUGAACCAAUCUCCAAUAUAAAUUUAUACCUGGUCACAAUUCAAUAAUGAACCUCAUAUCUCUGCCUGAAGACAAUCCAGGUAUACUUUCAGGGAAGACAUCAAGAAAAGUCUAACCCCUUUUGACAUUAUUCACACUACUCCAAACAACAUCAUUUAGCACCACAUGAGCUAAGUAAUUUUGACAGCCUUUCGAAAACAAUCUCUUUGCUCUCACAGCAUAAAUAACGGCCUGACUCAACCCACUUUGCAUACUUACAAAAGAAAUCUCUGGUCAUCCAGAUCGAUGGAAAGUACUGGUUUCCCGUAACAUUCCGUCUUGUCACAAUUAUAACCAACCAAUCUAAUGGAACAGAAUUAACUGAUACAAUAUAUAUAUUCUAUUAUUAUUAAGCAUUCUAAAUAAGUACAAUACUAACAUAAAAUAAUCUACCGGGUUGCUUGCUUAACGAAUCCACGAAUGAGUUAUUAAUAUUACGGUCUGCAGCCCGCAAUACUGAUAAAUCAUCGUUGUCUCGAUAAGUAAGCAACAACUCUCAAAGAUAUAACAUUACUAUUUUGUUACUCAAUGCAAAAUACAUACACUCGUCUCAACUACAUUUAUUUACUACUCUCUAGGUAAUAACAUACAUAAUAAGAAAUAUAUCAGCCGAAGUCAACUAGAAUGACCAAUACGGCUGAUUCAACUCUUAUCUCAAUAAUACGUCGGCCGGAUCCACUCCGCGUGGUCGGUACGGCCGAGCCUAUAACUCACCAAUUUCUCAUGCGUCAAUCGAAUCCAUUUCUCAUGGUCUGUACGGCUGAACAUAUAACUCAUCAAAUCUCUCUGUACUCACGGUCAAUCCGACCAACUACUAAAUCCAUAACUCUGCUGAAUCGACACUAUGAUAUCAUGGAAAAUUGUUGAGUACAACUGAUUCUAGGGACGAUUCACAAUUCUGUGUCCCCUCUGUUCACAUAAACACAUUCAUUAAUUUCACACUUCCCAAAGUGUUAAUUUUGUACCUGCUGCACAAAGUACAUUUCCUUUACUCGAGACACCUUGUCUCAAAUAUCUGGGAUUACCAGUAUAUCCAUCACUUUUAUUCUGACCAGCGACAUUAAAACCUCAGCUGGAAGAAUUAACUCUAGCUUCACUUCUUUCGAAGCUCUAAAUCUUUCUAUAUCCUUGAUAUGACGAAUCAUUAACUUUAUCGUCUUCUUUUAAUUCCCAUUCAUUUCUUAUUCUUCUUUGUUCUCGUUGCUCAUGUUCUCAGAGUCCUCAAGACUCAACAGCAUCUUGUAUAUUCCUGGUAAGAAGUAUAAUGGAUAGUGGUCACCCAAAAUACCACUUCCCUUUUUGCCACCCAGCUUAAAACAACAUAACACCUCCACCAAAUUAACAACAAUAUCUGGAUGGAACGAGGCAAGUCUGAAAACUUUCUAUAAUAUCCCUCGAUCAUCACCUUCCUUGUCUCAUAUUUGUAAACUCUUGUUUACUACCAUCGAUAAAUGGCGGAGGGAUAAACUUUCCCUUAAACAAGUCCUUAAACAAUUUUAAAUCGGCUGAUUACUCUUGUGACAACAAAUAACAAUCCUGUUUCCACCAGGAUAUAAAUUCAUACCCAAAACCAGGUAGUCGUCUCGACCCCUUGUCAGAAGGAAAUUUCCUUUAACUUGCAUAAUCUGAAACAUCUUUUCCAAAUGGUUAAACCGUUACUUCGCUCCCUCAGGUUAAUCAUUUCAUAAGGUGAUUCAAAUUCGACUCAUAACCCGUCUUAAAAUGUCCAUUUUGAUAAUAUACUGAAUCACCAUAAUAAUAGUUUCCCCUAAACUGCUAUAUUAGGGAGACUAAAUUCCUCCAACUAAGUGGCUUACUACGAGGCGGUGUAGUUCUGACAGAAUUCAUUAGAACUUCUCAAGAUGUCCAAGAUUGCAACCAUGCUCUGAUACCAACUGACACACCCCGUCCCGAAGGAGGGCAUGCUGGCCGUCACGUGAGAGUGACGUAACCAUUUACACAGUACGGAAGCUUUAAGAUACAAUUUAUAAGUUGAUACACCCGAAGGUGAGUCCUAAUUUUGUCCAUUCUGUCAGAACACCGUCGAAUUCCUCGUAGUCACCACACCUUUGUGAUUCCUGAACCUGGAGGGGCGCAAAACCAAAAUUGAGUGGGUCAGUAAAACAAUUCUUUUCCAAAUCCAAACAUUUCUCAAAACGUUGUAACCCCUCUCCGUAAAACCUGUAUACUUUCCCAGAAAUGUAAAAUAUAAAUAUACAUAUAUAAUCUCAAAACUUCAAAUCACUAUCUCAACAUUUUUCAUUACAAUUAUGCCAUGCCAUGUCUAAAUUCAACAGUAUAAUAUGAAUGCAUCAACAAUAAUUAUAUCAGGUGCAAGAAGUAAUCAACCGGAGGCCCUCUAAUAGCCCUGAACGGUUGAACCUAGAGCUCAAAAUCUAUCACUCUCACUCUGCCGGAGUCACCUCUGUGACCUGUACGGCCUUCUGCACACAAGUUACGCUCUAGUGCUUUCUCAUUAAUCAUCUGUGCACAUAAUCUAAGGUCACCCACCAGUCGAAAUCUCACUAACACUCUUCGACUGGCCCGUCGCACCCACUCCGCGUGGACUAUGCGACCAGCAUCUACUUGGAUCCAAGGCGAGCGUGCGAUGCGGUGAAUACUAUAAGCACUAAACCAUGGUGCAGGAUUUGAGCUCAAUAUAUAUCAACAUCAUCAUAACAGUAUUUAAAUACUCACCUGAUACUCACCUGUGCGUCCGCCGCACCAUUCAUUCAUAUGCAUCAUAUAACAAUUCAUACUUUUCAUAUCAUUUCAUGCAUGGCAAUUCGAUUCACAUUUCUAUAUACUUUGCAUAUAAUUUUAUGCAUGGCAUCUCAAUUCACGUUUUCAUAUAAUUCUAUAUACCUUUUCAUUUAAAACAUAAUUUCAUUCUAAUUCAAUUUCUGGGAAAACGUCAAGUAUAUUAUAUAUACGGAAAACAAAACUGCCCACUCACACCUGGAGUUCGUCCUACAACUCCCUAGCACAAUACGCCAAGGCGUCAUGACGAUUGCCGCCUAGAACAGUAAUCAAAUCCAACCUCAGAAUUCAUAUCGAUAGAAUAUAUACUUAUAUAAAAUACGUCACUACGUAGAUCGAUCCGGAAGAUCUGCCACUCAGAUCAGAUUUUAAAUCCAUAACUUCCAGAGGUCCACAAUAUAUCUCUAGGACAACAUCCUAAAAUUUCAUCACCAUCCAACGGUUAGAUCUCCGUCAAUUAACAAAAACUAAGUGACGGUUUACACAUUCUAUUUUAUGAACUUACAACUCAAAUUCCGGAAGAUCUGUAAAUCGGAUUCCCAAUCCGUAAGUUCCUAUAAUCCUCAAAUAUUACGUAUUACAACGUAUCAAAGUUUGGUGACGAUCCAACGGUCGGAUCAUCAAUUCACAUUUUCACCUAAUGCGAAAAUUAUAAAAAACGUUAUUUGAACACCUAACCAACAAUCCUUAAUAACUUUCUCAUACGGUACUCAAUUUGGGUAUAUGAAUAUACCAAAGUGAUCUACUCGACGUCACGAACGUCGACAUAUUUUUUUAGAUUAUUUUUUUUGAUGUGCCACGCGCCCCCACGCGCCAGGACAAGCACGGGGACACGCGCCCCCACGCGCAUCAUCCCCAACCUUGGUUCGUCGGACUGGUUUUUCCGGCGACCGGAAAAACUGGAGAAUUUUCAAAUGCUUCGUUCUCCUUCGUUUCUCUCAACCAUUUUCUUCGUAUAAUAUAUCAAAUUGAAGCCCUCAACAUGUAGAAUCAUAAUAUACUACUUUAAAGCUCUAAAAACUACGAAAUCUUACCGGAAAAAUUCCACAAGAACCGGCCAACUUUGAACGUGGUGAUCCCGACGUCCAAAACUUCCAAACAACAUACUCCGAGCUUCCUUGGGACUUCCUAAAGCUCACUGUGAGCUUAGUUUGGCCUAAAACACAACCAAUUCAAAGCUCAUGAACAGUACACUUUCACGGGGAGUUUAGAAUCUAGGUUUUCCGAAGUAAAACUUACCUGAAAUUGGUGUCUACGUGAUCGUGGAGGUUCCAGGAGUUCGAUGGUGGUCUUAACUCCGUCGUUGGUAGAAGUUUAGGGUGGUUUUGGAGCUUGUCCGUGUGAGUUCGAAGGAGAGGGAGAGAGAACUGAGAGUUUCGUGAGGGAGGAGAGAGAGAGAUAAAGCACGGAAAAGAGGGAGAGAAUUUAGGGGUGUGGGAUCCUACCCAAUCCCCAACUACAAAUUCUAACAUAAAAUUUAAGUCUAAGUCUCCACUCUACUUACCAAAUUUUAGGAGCUUAGAUAUAACGAACGUAAAAAUUAUACCUUAGUCACGUAUUGGGGGCAUUUUCGUAAUUUCAUGUCCUCAGAAU
rnacentral:lncRNA from 1 species